CGAAUCCGUGCUCCUGCGCAGGCAGGAGCCCAGGGUUGUCGAAGUGCCGCGCUUGUGGCUCUGGGCUCCUGCCUGCGCAGGAGCACGGCUUGG
rnacentral:miRNA from 1 species